UGCAUUCAGAUUUUACUGCUAAUUGUUGAGGCACUGCUCUACAAACCUGUAAGGACCUUGCAGUGGCAGUCCAGAUCAAAUAUAGUUCCAUGUGGCUGUAUUUUUUUUUAUUUUUUUUAUUUAAAAUAAAGUAAAUACGUUUCACACAGAUAUCCUCACAAAGCAAGUUUUUUUGCCUCUUUUGUUAGUAAAGGUGGUGCAGUAUGGUUGUUAAAAUCCUUGUUGGUAACUGAAAGAAAUAAACUAUAAAUUUUCACCAUUGCCAUUUUAACAGGGCACCUACUGUACUGUAUUCACUUUUUUCCCCAUUUCCAAUAUAUAUAUAUAUAUAUAUAUAUAUAUAUAUAUAUAUAUAUAUAUAUAUAUAUAUAGUGUGUUACAAACACGCCAGGUUCCACCUCCACACAAUCACAGCGCACACCCUCACCGGAAUACUAGUCAUCACCACCUGCUCCUCAUCAUCCACUCAUCAGCACUGCACCAUAUAAGCCACACACACGCACCCAGUCAUCAUCCGGUCACGUUCGCGACAUGAUCAUUCCUGUAUGCUUACUAUUAGGACUAACUCCUCUUCUACUCUCUCUCCAAGGAUUGCCUCCGAAGAUACCGAUUCCCCUAAGUGUGUGUGUGUGGUUCACCUACCUUUCCAGAAGUCACUACCUACCCUGCACGGAUCCCAACGCCCAUCCACUCCUCACUUACUGCUCCUCUGCUUGUGUCUAAAUAAACAACUUCAUCUGUUACUCCUCUGUCUCCCGAGUGAUCCGUAACAGAUGACCGGACCCGCACCGAGAGACAAGCAUGAGCCUCACGGAUCCCUUCCAAGACCUAGUUGAUGCACUCCGUCGUACACUCAUGUCGGCACCAGCAUCCCCACCACCAGCGAGCACUUCCGCCGAUCCCAUCAUCCCUCCUUCACCUGCCGUGCACGCCAGUCCCAUGGCCAGGCCGGCGCCCUACUCUGGUUCGGCGGAGGAAUGCAGCGGUUUCCUGCUUCAGUGUUCACUGGUCCUGGAGAUGCAACCGCUCUCGUAUCCAACAGACUGGGACUCCUCGAUAGGAUUGCCUCCGAAGAUACCGAUUCCCCUAAGUGCGUGUGUGUGGUUCACCUACCUUUCCAGAAGUCACUACACACCCUGCACGGAUCCCAACGCCCAUCCACUCCUCACUUCCUGCUCCUCUGCUUGUGUCUAAAUAAACAACUUCAUCGGUUACUCCUCUGUCUCCCGAAUGAUCCGUAACUUAUAGCUCACAUCCCUUUAUCCAAUCUGUAGUCACAUUUUCAAAACUCUAAACACAAUUAGUACAACAUCCAUCUGAUGUGACCAUACCAUUAACAAAAUUCAUGUUGUUUUCACAAAAUAUGCAGUCAAUUGCCAUCGUUCUAAAAUGCUUACAUUUUAGAAAUGAAGACCUUAUUUUACAAACUUUAAAUAUA
rnacentral:lncRNA from 1 species